UUUAGAUCCACACCGUCGCCUCCACCCUGUUCCCAAUCCACUCUAGCACCGCCGCCCUGUUUGCCUUCGAUGGCCGGAGCUAGCGCCGCCAGAGCAGGAGGCAACUGCACGGGAGCUUCGCCAGGAGUAAGAUGAUUGAUGCCCGACGAUCGAAGAUCGCCGCCACCGCCACUUCACGGCUUCCUCCACCAGCAGUAGAACACACCGACCCCUUCCUUCACUACCACAAGAUCAACAUCAUCGUUCCUCUAGUGCUAGUAGAUUGACUGGAGCAGUUCGUCGGUGCCACUUUUUCCUCCAGCCGCGCGACAUCCGUGCCACUCCUUGCUCCAGCAGCAAGCAGGCCAAAAAUAAGACUCACUGGUGCUGCCUUCCCCGUUGUUUCCAGCUCCAGGGAAGGUAAUACUCACUGUGUCUCAAAAUAAGUGUCAUAAACGUAACACUAAAUUAGUACAUAUUUUGUACUGGACCAGCGACACUUAUUUUGGGACGGAGGGAGUAUCUGUAGAGUUGCACACACACGGGAGAUUCGUCUUCAGAGCCGUCAUUAGCAGCUGGUUCAGAUCAUCCCCAAAGGUUAGACCGGCCAAAAGUAUGAUUCAACUGCGCACACACUAGAGACUCAAUUCAAGGAAGCUAUGCUUCUUCUGUUGUAAUUAGCUUAGUAGAUGCUUUGGCUAGUACAUGCCUACAUGUUGCAAUUGUUCUAGUAUAAUACAUGAUGUUUGCUAGCAGCGUGGUACUUUAUUUUGGACUUUUGAUUGUGAGUUGUGAGAGAAUGAGAGAGCAAAGAACUAUGUGAUGAUUGAUGGUUGGUUGUGUGCUAGCAAAGUAGAAAAAACUAUGUUAUGUUUAAGUGAAGAUUGUUUGCAUUUUUA